UGAAUCAUCAAAUUAAAAGUCAAAUUUCCCUAAAAAGAUCAAAAGACCGCCAUAUUACUUUAUUUUAAUGAUU